rnacentral:rRNA from 1 species
GAAAACUGCGGCCUCUCCGUUUUUGCGCACCCUUUCGGACACCGCCGCCGACCUCUACGAGAAUCGAAACCUAGUUGCGGGGGGCGGGAGAGGGGGGCCGUGUUAGGGCGGAGCACGCCGCAGCGGCUUGUAGCGGCGGCAAGGGUAAAGGAACGACAGGACAGGCGAGAACCUGAAACUAAACAAAUACUCCAUACUCUAAAAAGCGGUAGGUCCUGGAGGUGUUUAAAGCUCACGCGGCCACGUCUGGGCAGUAGUACGGUAUAUCUAGGCGGGGAAUCUACAUCUCACGAAUGUAUUCUCUCCUGCCUCCCCGCGUUAACUAAGACAAAGAAUGCCUAGGCUCAGAUCAAGGUUGUUCCUAAGAUCAUCAUAUAAAUCUAACGAAGCGUCCCUUUCCGGGCUGGAAAAACAGAAACGUAGCCGCCUCUGGUCCUCGCUACCGCUCGCGUCCUGACUUCGAACGAGGAGACGGCGAGAGUGGCUGGCGUUCGCGGGACUCCGGCGGCCCCUCGGAAGGCUCCGAUGGCUGACCAGGAGGGAGGGAGGCCUGCAGUAGGCGUAGUAGCGGCUCGUUGACGACCGCCUCCUGCACUGCCUAAUGUACACGAAGGCGCGACACACGAGCGUGACCGCACGGAAGUGGUGGUCGGGGACGCUAGAGUGCGACGUCCUUUGGGCGAAGGCAGGAGCGCCGACCCAGCGGGAGACACUGCCGCUGCCGCAUGCGGGUCGACUACGGACGCUCUAGUGGGAGAAGGUGUGCAGAUGGUCGUCCGCGGAGGUACGGGCAGACAGGCUCGAGGUCUUGGUGGCCCAGCAGCCGAAGUGACUACCGGAGGAGUAGGACGAGUUGUUCCCGUGGUGGCGACAGGCACAGGACGUAGGUAAGUGGGCACAGAAGUAACUGGAGGGAGGGGAACGCGGGUAGAAGGUGGUAAACCAAACCUACUUUCGGCGUCAGACGGCCAGGGUACGGAGCUAACGGCAGCAACGGACCAAGAGCCAACACGGUCACCACCAGAUGCGACUUGGACCCUUCGGUGUAACCAGACAGUAUGUGGUUCCAGAACUCGAAACCUGACGGAAUGGUAAGGCUCCGUCUGACAAACCGUAGUCUUUCCCCUGUACCCUCUAACACGUCCACAUGGGAGACAAGGGCGUCGUGGGUCACCAACGAGCAUAAGGGUCGAACAAACCAACGGGAUGUAAAACAACGAUGAUGGAACACCUUAAGUCUCUUAUGUACGAGGAACGACAGGUCGUAGCAGCACAAUCGGUCUCGUUCUUCCCCACCGUCGGUAAGCGAAAACGGGAGAAGGACCACUUAACUUGUAUAUUUACUGCGAUCUGUUGGGCGGCAAGACCUCCGUAGCUCGCGCGUGCUACAGAAACUGGUGUGCUACCUCGGUCUCGUUCUUCCCCACCGUCGGUAAGCGAAAACGGGAGAAGGACCACUUAUAUUUGGUUUCUCCUGACCGAGACAACUCAUCGGAUCCACUGGCCCGCGAGAAGGAAUCGUUUCUGGCUACGGAUACACAGAGGCGGUGUUUUGAGGGAAGAUAGUCGUCGUUAAGGUAGAUGAAGAGCGACGGGUUGAAGCUGGGACCACAUCACAUAAGAGAUUCGUCGCCCUGUAAGCUCGCCUGUAGUUGCGUACGGGAGUAUGUACUGGACUUCCUCUCCCAAGCCGGGAGACACGCCGGGAAGUGGGACCGACUAGUAGACUGUUGUAUAACGGUGGUAGAACUCACCAGUUUCCCUGAAUACAAAGUACUCAUGAUACAAUAUGGAAACAGAACCUUCCUUUACAACUCUUUUUAAUGCAAUGUACUGACACUUUAAGUUCAAAGUACACACACACUUCUCUUGCUUCACCCUUCAAACUGCAGUUUCUUUUUCUUGGACCCUUAUUGUCCUGCGUGUGAACGGAACGUGACCUUUAGCAGAGUAAGACCUCGUAGAGGUCUUGACUAUAAUGAUCUCGUCUAAAGCAGCAUCCUACCUUCUACCCUCUGAUCUUGGGACCCCCUGGACAAUGUGAUCGGUAAAGGGGAUCUUCUCGAGGGGUUUUAUUCCAGCGAGACCACUGACUCGAAUCCCUAGACAUUAUUAUAGCAAUUCGGUCACAACAUAAUACCGAAACAAAGCGACUGAAACAAGAUAAUACCGAAACAUACGAACAUUUACCCAGAGAACAGACAAUAACUGUACUCCGGUUUUAGUGUAUACGCAAAGCUACCCUACUAACACGUUCAUGGUGGUCUCUGAUGACGGUU